rnacentral:rRNA from 1 species
GCUAAGAUAGAUGGCGACCGGCGCACGGGUGCGUAACGCGUAUGCAACCUACCUGUAAUUAGGGGAUAACCCGGUGAAAGUCGGACUAAUACCCUAUAUUCUUCUUUAUUCGCAUGGAUAUGGACGGAAAGAUUAAUUGAUUACAGAUGGGCAUGCGUCCCAUUAGCUGGUUGGUAAGGUAACGGCUUACCAAGGCAACGAUGGGUAGGGGGACUGAGAGGUUGACCCCCCACACUGGUACUGAGACACGGACCAGACUCCUACGGGAGGCAGCAGUGAGGAAUAUUGGUCAAUGGGCGAGAGCCUGAACCAGCCAAGUCGCGUGAAGGAAGACGGUUCUAUGGAUUGUAAACUUCUUUUGUAGAGGAAUAAUGGCGGUUACGCGUAACCGAGAUGCAAGUACUCUACGAAUAAGCAUCGGCUAACUCCGUGCCAGCAGCCGCGGUAAUACGGAGGAUGCGAGCGUUAUCCGGACUUAUUGGGUUUAAAGGGUGCGUAGGUGGCUUGUUUAGUC